GCACGAUUACCAACUCUCUAUGAGUCUUGGAGUUAAAUGCCUAUGAAACUAUGAAAUGAAACUCUCCAUUGAGAGUGGGUGUUUCAUCCAAAUUUCAUUUCAUUUCAUACGACAUGGCAAUCUUGAAAACAACGUCAUGAAACUCUCCACUAAGACUGGCCUUAGUAGUAGUGCAACAAGCAAGGACCUACAACUUGGUGACAUCGGGUCACGUGCGUCCCAAUGGAAAAUUCACCACGGCAGCGCGGCUUCGAUCCACGUGCGCAACAACAAUUCACCAGUUCAAGCACAGGACCCGUACACUGCAAUCUGAGGUCUUGUUUAGUUCACCCAAAAAUCAAAAACUUUUUAAGAUUCUAUGUCACAUUAAAUCUUGCGGCAUAUGCAUGAAACAUUAAAUAUAGACAAAAACAAAAACUAAUUGCACAGUUUAUAUGUAAAUCGCUAGAUGAAUCUUUUGAAUCAAGUUAGUCUAUGAUUGGAUAAUAAUUGUCAAAUGAAAACGAAAGUGCUACACUACCUAAAACAAAAAAAAAACAAAACUAAACAAGGCCUCAAUUCAUCUGCGCG
rnacentral:lncRNA from 1 species